rnacentral:misc_RNA from 1 species
GAGAAGAUGAGACUCUCAAAGCAAAACCAUGUUUUAGCGUCUGUUUGAUGCCACAGACUCAGACGAAAACAAGUACUUCACGCGGGAAAGAACUGAAUCAUGUGUAGGGUCAUAAGGAUGAUCCUUAGAAGGAAUCUCCAAUAUUGCUGGAACAGGAUUGUUGUAGUUAUCUACAAGAAACCUUAUCAUAUUUGCAACAUA